AAGCGAAAGGAUGAAUGCCUGCAGAAACACCUUCCUGCAGGCACAGCAGGUGGCUGUGCAGCACUCACUGGGGUGGUGUGCAUGGAGCCCUGACCCAGAGCUGUUAAAACCAGCAGUCAGUCAAGCGAGCAGAACAAGACUGGGAAUGCUAAACAUGGCACCCUCAAAAUCA